AAGAGAGGCUGGGAUUCGAGGCGCCGACGCUGGUUCAAGCUCAGGCGAUUCCCGUCGUGCUUUCCGGCCGACAUGUGCUUGUGAAUGCUGCUACAGGCACUGGCAAAACAGUGGCUUAUCUAGCUCCAAUAAUUCAUAUGUUGCAGAGUUAUGAUGAAAGGAUUGAGCGUGCAGAUGGCACCUUUGCGUUGGUCCUUGUACCAACGCGGGAAUUAUGCAUGCAGGUGUAUGAGAUUUUGCAGAAGUUGCUACACCGUUUUCAUUGGAUUGUUCCUGGAUAUAUCAUGGGUGGGGAAAAUCGGGGAAAGGAGAAAGCUAGGUUA